GCAGACACAUUCCAGCCAAUCAGCAGCAGACCCUCCCUCCCAGACCCUCCCACCUCCUGGACAGCAUCCAUUUUGAAGCUGAAUUCUUAGUGAGCUGUCCAGGAGGUGGGAGGGUCUGGGAGGGAGGGUCUGCUGCUGAUUGGCUGGAAUGUGUCUG
rnacentral:miRNA from 1 species